rnacentral:rRNA from 1 species
UACGGAGGGUGCAAGCGUUAUCCGGAUUCACUGGGUUUAAAGGGUGCGUAAGUGGGCAGGUAAGUCAGUGGUGAAAUCUCCGAGCUUAACUCGGAAACUGCCGUUGAUACUAUUUGUCUUGAAUAUUGUGGAGGUAAGCGGAAUAUGUCAUGUAGCGGUGAAAUGCUUAGAUAUGACAUAGAACACCAAUUGCGAAGGCAGCUUACUACACAACGAUUGACGCUGAGGCACGAAAGCGUGGGGAGCAAACAGG